rnacentral:lncRNA from 7 species
AAUCAUUGCCUUAGGAAAGAUAAGUAAAAUCUGGGCUGGUGUCCAUCACCUGGAGAACACUCUACUCUCUUACUGUAGAAGGCUUUGCUCUGAGGCAAUGUCCCUUCAGCAGCUCAGCAUGGGCAGAAGCUGCUGGGAAUGCAGAAAAGCAGCUAUUAAUCCUCCUUGGCUAUCUUCUUCUGCAUGUUCUCACACAGCACUGAGCCCAAGGGCAUGAGCAGAUGUUCAAGGUGGUGAGAUUUAAGAGCUCUUAAUGAAGAUUUCUGCCCCAACAGAUCAGGCAGAGCAGCUGCUUGCAAGUACUCAAAGAUGUCAAGUUACAGGACUGAAGAACAAAGCCUCUGCUGGCCUUUUGAGAGCUCUGUUACUAACCAAAACCUCUGGUGGAUGAGAGAGAACAACAACAGUGUCAAUGACCCUGAGUCACUUCUUGGGUGUGUGGUAUGUUGAGCUGCCCCAUAAUCCAUGAAAGAAGGAAUUGAAACUCCAUAUUUACCAGACUGAAUGAAACAUCUUGUUUGAAACUGGAAGUGAAAUAAUCUGCUUAAUAUUAUGUUAAUUCACAUCAUUGCUUUAAAAACAAAUGAAGAAAAUAACAAUAAUUUUGUUCUGCUCCUUUUGCUCCUACAGCUUAAAGUUGUAACUGCAAGGAAAACACAGCUGUGGAAAGGCAUGACAGUAUGUUAUGUUACUGUUUUAUAGGGAACUUUAUUUGUGGCUCAUGGAGAGAGAGGCUGGCAGGAGGAUUGUGGGCGCGCUGGAUAUAGUGCUCACUGGGAGGGAGGCUGCACUCCUACACAAGGGCUGCAUCUUUGGUUCACUCACAUUAGACAUUGUUCUCUUGUCAGUUGGGCAUGUGUUACAGCAACUGACUGCUGUGGAAGUGUGGGAAGAGUGAUAUUUGCCUUCCAUGUGACACUUUGGGUUUGAUGAUGGAGAAUAAGGUACCUGCAAAUCAUAACUGCAAAUCAUAACUGUUCAUAACAGAACCAUAACUGCUUCUGGGGAUCUUAGUCUCAAGAACCGAUGCUUUUGGAAAGCUCUGCUUAGGAACUGAAACUGUAAGGAACUUAGAAAUAUUCAUUUUUGUUCCCUUUCAGUAGGGCACGAACUAAAGUGUGGUUUGUGAGGGAGAGCACAGACAUCUUCACUGGUGAGCUAGUGCUUUGUCUUUGCAUGGUAAAUUUUACUCAUGCCUGGCCUACCUCAAGAACAGGUGACCGAGCACUCUGAUGGAUGGAAGCUUGAACAUCAGAACUCUCCAUUACCUGAAAAACUACAAACGCAGCUUUCACUUGGCUGCAGUGCUGCCACAAAUUGACUUCUCUAAAGGGUGAUAUCACUGGCUUCAGCACCAAGUGAACCAGGUCAACUUCAAUAUUGUAGAAAACCUUUAUUUUUUAGAAGUACAGCAGAUAUCCUAACACUGUGAUUCCUCCUAACAAGCCAUAUUUAAUCUAGUAAAAUAAUCUGUGUUUUCCUGUGUAACAGGGAAAUUGUAUAAGCUGUGUAACAAUCCUUGUCUUUCUCACUGCCAUACAUAGCUGCCUAGUAAACAAGGGAGAAAUUGAUAGUAAAAUUAGGUAGUGGUCCCAGAAAGAGGCGAAUGAUGCUUGGCCAUUAACUGAUUGAAUAGCUAGGGCUUGUCUGUCCUUAAAAUGCCACAGACUGAUAAAUGCAAGCUGUGGCCAAAAGACGUGCUCAUAUAGCCUUUUCGCUUUAAUUAAAAUUGAUGAAGACAUAAAUAAUUAAGCUGCACUCAGUCUGCAUAGGCAAGGCAAAAUAGUUAUAUUAGUGCUCAGGGAAGCUUGCUAUGCUAGGCAGUUGGCUGCUUCCCUUCAGAUGAUACGCUCUGUCAAUGGCAGUUAUGGGCUGUGUCUGAAGCUUUGAAGAGAGAUCCAUCACCUGUGACUUCAAAAAUGAUUUAGUCUGUUGGAAACUGUUUGUUGCAUCAGAGGCCUCAAGUGUGCAUACAUGAACACUGUCAAGAAUGGGAAAUUAAGAAAGAGUUUAAGGAGAAGAAAAGCAUGUAUGAAUGCUAUGAUUUCAAGCUGCUUUUCUAGAUGUCAAAGAUGUCAAUCUAACAAGUAAGCAGCGUGGUAUUCAUUCAGUGGAGGAGGUUAAAAUUGAUACUAAAACAUAUGUUAGAAGUCAACUAUUAAUCGCUUAAUGCUUAGUAAUCAAUUGCCACCCACUUCCAUAGUUUGGUAAUGUCUCAUUUUAACUUGCUCGCAAUAUAAACUUCCAAAGACAAAUUAAAGAAACAUCAAUUCUGUGCGUGCUCCCUCUUCUGUGAGGGAAGAGAUGGAUCCAAAAUAUAAAUGUAUGUAUGCAGAUCUUUGUAGACUGGUUAUUAUUUGUACAAGUUUUUUUGAAAGUAUAGGUAUUUGACCUUUCCAGGUUCAGACCUAGCUGAAUUUGUAAUUCAUCUUCACGUAUUGAAAAGGACAGACAAAAUGUUUUCUUCCUCUAGAGGUAAUGUUGGCUGUAAUUUGAAGAAAUUAUGCAAAGGGCAAAAUGUGCAGUCAUACGGUAUUAGAUUGUGUCAUACAAUAUUGGACUCGAGAAGCUUUAUGAAUACCUUCUCAAGUGCUAUCAGAAAUCAUCAUUUAAACCCUUGCUUAGCCUUCACAUGUGUAUUAAGACCCCUGUUUUGAUU